rfam:Oryza glumipatula chromosome 7, whole genome shotgun sequence.
UUAAACAUUAGUAAUGAAUUUUCGUGUACAACUUUAAUCAUCCGUCUUAUUUAAAAAUUACUUUUAAAAAAUAAAAAAAAUAUAAGUAACGAGUACUAUUCAUGUUUUAUCAUAUAACAACAACAAAAAUACUAAUCAUAAAAUAUUUCAAAUAAGACAAACGAUUAAAAUUAAACAAAGAAACUCAUGGGUGCGUUUAAA